rnacentral:rRNA from 1 species
GGCCAGACUCCUACGGGAGGCAGCAGUGGGGAAUAUUGCACAAUGGGGGAAACCCUGAUGCAGCAACGCCGCGUGAAGGAAGACGGUUUUCGGAUUGUAAACUUCUGUUCUUAGUGAAGAAUAAUGACGGUAGCUAAGGAGCAAGCCACGGCUAACUACGUGCCAGCAGCCGCGGUAAUACGUAGGUGGCAAGCGUUGUCCGGAAUUACUGGGUGUAAAGGGAGCGCAGGCGGGAAGCCAAGUCAGCUGUGAAAACUACGGGCUUAACUUGUAGACUGCAGUUGAAACUGUUUUUCUUGAGUACCGGAGAGGUCAUCGGAAUUCCUUGUGUAGCGGUGAAAUGCGUAGAUAUAAGGAAGAACACCAGUGGCGAAGGCGGAUGACUGGACGGCAACUGACGGUGAGGCGCGGAAGCGUGGGGAGCAAACAGGAUUAGAUACCCCGGUA